AAUCAUUGAAAGACCGAAAUACCCACACGUUUGACGCCCCUCAUCUCUCAUCUCUGCUCUCCCUUCGCAUUUGACGCCUCCAUCUGUUCUCUCUGCCUUGCUCUGCCUUCGUACCAAAAACACUGAUCUGCUACCAAAAACCAGAUGGGUAAAAACACAACUUCCAACCCCGAGGCAAAAAAGGCUAGAGCAUUAUGGGAUAAUAAUUCAAGCUGGACCACUACUUUUUGUAAUCUUUGUGUGGAACAGAUUCAACUUGGGAAUAGGAAUAAAGGUGCUGCCUUUAGUACCCUAGGUUGGACCAAUAUAGUGACCAAAUUUUGUGAUGAAACCGGUCAAAAUUAUGAUAGGGAGCAAUUAAAAAGUAGGUGGGAUGUGUUAAAAGGUGAUUGGAGAUUGUGGGAAAAAUUGAGGAUGCAUGACACAGGUUUAGGUUGGGAUACAGCGAAGGGAACAAUUCUUGCUCCUGAUGAUUGGUG